UAAAAAAUACGUGUUUAUCUUUUCCGUGCAUUGAUUUUUACAGUAUCGUUCUGAUAGUGAAUAAGAUAAGAUUAUUGAACGAUUGUAACACAACGAGUUUCGACGUUGAGUUGUUAAUACCUUUUCUGUGUUAAUAGUUUAUAAAAAAAGCAAAAAUGUGUUGCUGCGUCUGCAAUCUUCUAUGCAAAGUCCUCAGUGCUAUCUUCUCUUUAUUAUUCUUAGUUGCUGUAAUACUACUCAUAUUAUGGGGAGUCGGAGUAAUUUUUCAGUAGCACAUAUGAAAACCCUCAACAAAAUGGUGACGUAGAAGAAGUGACAUAAUGUGACUAUGAAUCAAUUUAAGUAAUUAAUGAAUUUUAGAAAAACAUCGAAGCCUAAAAUAAUUAAUAAGCCAAAGAUUUUAUUAGGCUCUUGACUGUUUAUUUUUAAAUGUAAGUUAUAUCAUCAACUUUAUAUUUAAUAAAAGUCUGAGCUGUCCCUAG